GGGAAGCAGCGAAGCGGGGAACGCAAAGGGCACGCGCCGGGGGGCCGGGAGAGGAGGCCGGGGGGAGGGGCGUUAGAAGAAAAAAUCGAGGCGGCGCGCGGGGUUUAAGGGUGAUCGCGUCGGAAUUGAGCCGUCUUUCAAAUGUUAAUGCAUGUCAAAGUGGCUUAAAAUUCAUCCAUCCGGUACGAUUAAAGCGUAUUUAAGAUCAAUUUUGAUUAAGAACGCGCGAUGAACGUACCAUCUCAUGUAGUACGUUUGACUUGACGUCGUCAGGUUCAUUCGUAUACGAUACUCAAACUUU
rnacentral:misc_RNA from 1 species